rnacentral:rRNA from 1 species
UACGUAGGGACCAAGCGUUGUCCCGGAAUCAUUGGGCGUAAAGAGCGUGUAGGCGGCUUGUUAAGUCCUGCGUGAAAUCUCGGGCUCAACCCCGAGCGGUCGUGGGAAACUGGUUGGCUAGAGUGCGGGAGAGGAGAGUGGAAUUCCCAGUGUAGCGGUGAAUGCGCAGAUAUUGGGAAGAACACCCGUGGCGAAGGCGCUCUCUGGAACGCAACUGACGCUGAGGCGCGAAGCGUGGGAGCAACAGG